rnacentral:rRNA from 1 species
GGGUUGUGAGGUUAAGCGACUAAGCGUACACGGUGGAUGCCCUGGCAGUCAGAGGCGAUGAAGGACGUGCUAAUCUGCGAAAAGCGUCGGUAAGGUGAUAUGAACCGUUACAGCCGGCGAUGUCCGAAUGGGGAAACCCAGUGUGAUUCGUCACACUAUCGUUAACUGAAUACAUAGGUUAACGAGGCGAACCGGGGGAACUGAAACAUCUAAGUACCCCGAGGAAAAGAAAUCAACCGAGAUUCCCCCAGUAGCGGCGAGCGAACGGGGAGCAGCCCAGAGUCUGAAUCAGCUUGUGUGUUAGUGGAACGGUCUGGAAAGUCCGACGGUACAGGGUGAUAGUCCCGUACACCAAAAUGCACAGGCUGUGAACUCGAAGAGUAGGGCGGGACACGUGGUAUCCUGUCUGAAUAUGGGGGGACCAUCCUCCAAGGCUAAAUACUCCUGACUGACCGAUAGUGAACCAGUACCGUGAGGGAAAGGCGAAAAGAACCCCGGCGAGGGGAGUGAAAAAGAACCUGAAACCGUGUACGUACAAGCAGUGGGAGCACCUUCGGGUGUGACUGCGUACCUUUUGUAUAAUGGGUCAGCGACUUAUAUUCUGUAGCAAGGUUAACCGUAUAGGGGAGCCGCAGGGAAACCGAGUCUUAACUGGGCGUUAAGUUGCAGGGUAUAGACCCGAAACCCGGUGAUCUAGCCAUGGGCAGGUUGAAGGUUGGGUAACACUAACUGGAGGACCGAACCGACUAAUGUUGAAAAAUUAGCGGAUGACUUGUGGCUGGGGGUGAAAGGCCAAUCAAACCGGGAGAUAGCUGGUUCUCCCCGAAAGCUAUUUAGGUAGCGCCUCGUGAAUUCAUCUUCGGGGGUAGAGCACUGUUUCGGCUAGGGGGUCAUCCCGACUUACCAACCCGAUGCAAACUACGAAUACCGAAGAAUGUUAUCACGGGAGACACACGGCGGGUGCUAACGUCCGUCGUGAAGAGGGAAACAACCCAGACCGCCAGCUAAGGUCCCAAAGUCACAGUUAAGUGGGAAACGAUGUGGGAAGGCACAGACAGCCAGGAUGUUGGCUUAGAAGCAGCCAUCAUUUAAAGAAAGCGUAAUAGCUCACUGGUCGAGUCGGCCUGCGCGGAAGAUGUAACGGGGCUAAACUGUGCACCGAAGCUGCGGCAGCGACACUAUGUGUUGUUGGGUAGGGGAGCGUUCUGUAAGCCUGCGAAGGUGGCCUGUGAGGGUUGCUGGAGGUAUCAGAAGUGCGAAUGCUGACAUAAGUAACGAUAAUGCGGGUGAAAAGCCCGCACGCCGGAAGACCAAGGGUUCCUGUCCAACGUUAAUCGGGGCAGGGUGAGUCGACCCCUAAGGCGAGGCCGAAAGGCGUAGUCGAUGGGAAACAGGUUAAUAUUCCUGUACUUGGUGUUACUGCGAAGGGGGGACGGAGAAGGCUAUGUUAGCCGGGCGACGGUUGUCCCGGUUUAAGCAUGUAGGCGGAGGUUCCAGGUAAAUCCGGUACCUUUUUAACGCUGAGGUGUGAUGACGAGGCACUACGGUGCUGAAGUAACAAAUGCCCUGCUUCCAGGAAAAGCCUCUAAGCAUCAGGUAACAUUAAAUCGUACCCCAAACCGACACAGGUGGUCAGGUAGAGAAUACCAAGGCGCUUGAGAGAACUCGGGUGAAGGAACUAGGCAAAAUGGUGCCGUAACUUCGGGAGAAGGCACGCUGAUAUGUAGGUGAAGCCCCUGCGGGUGGAGCUGAAAUCAGUCGAAGAUACCAGCUGGCUGCAACUGUUUAUUAAAAACACAGCACUGUGCAAACACGAAAGUGGACGUAUACGGUGUGACGCCUGCCCGGUGCCGGAAGGUUAAUUGAUGGGGUUAUCCGUAAGGAGAAGCUCUUGAUCGAAGCCCCGGUAAACGGCGGCCGUAACUAUAACGGUCCUAAGGUAGCGAAAUUCCUUGUCGGGUAAGUUCCGACCUGCACGAAUGGCGUAAUGAUGGCCAGGCUGUCUCCACCCGAGACUCAGUGAAAUUGAACUCGCUGUGAAGAUGCAGUGUACCCGCGGCAAGACGGAAAGACCCCGUGAACCUUUACUAUAGCUUGACACUGAACAUUGAGCCUUGAUGUGUAGGAUAGGUGGGAGGCUUUGAAGCGUGGACGCCAGUCUGCGUGGAGCCAACCUUGAAAUACCACCCUUUAAUGUUUGAUGUUCUAACGUUGGCCCCUUAUCGGGGUUGCGGACAGUGUCUGGUGGGUAGUUUGACUGGGGCGGUCUCCUCCCAAAGAGUAACGGAGGAGCACGAAGGUUAGCUAAUCCUGGUCGGACAUCAGGAGGUUAGUGCAAUGGCAUAAGCUAGCUUGACUGCGAGCGUGACGGCGCGAGCAGGUGCGAAAGCAGGUCAUAGUGAUCCGGUGGUUCUGAAUGGAAGGGCCAUCGCUCAACGGAUAAAAGGUACUCCGGGGAUAACAGGCUGAUACCGCCCAAGAGUUCAUAUCGACGGCGGUGUUUGGCACCUCGAUGUCGGCUCAUCACAUCCUGGGGCUGAAGUAGGUCCCAAGGGUAUGGCUGUUCGCCAUUUAAAGUGGUACGCGAGCUGGGUUUAGAACGUCGUGAGACAGUUCGGUCCCUAUCUGCCGUGGGCGCUGGAGAAUUGAGGGGGGCUGCUCCUAGUACGAGAGGACCGGAGUGGACGCAUCACUGGUGUUCGGGUUGUCAUGCCAAUGGCAUUGCCCGGUAGCUAAAUGCGGAAGAGAUAAGUGCUGAAAGCAUCUAAGCACGAAACUUGCCCCGAGAUGAGUUCUCCCUGAGACUUUAAGUCUCCUGAAGGAACGUUAAAGACGAUGACGUUGAUAGGUCGGGUGUGUAAGCGUAGCGAUACGUUGAGCUAACCGAUACUAAUGAACCGUGAGGCUUAACCUUACAACGCCGAAG